GGUGGACCAAAAAAUGCACUAAGACAACUAAAUGUGAUGUCAGCUGAAUGAGACCAAACUAUAUCUCAUCUAGAUGAAUUCUAAGCACUCUCAUCAAUAUUUAUACAACUUCGGUAUUUUAUAUAAAUGGAAGCUAAAGAUUUUGACAAAAUUGACAGAGAGAAAUAAUAAAGGAUACAUAGGGAAUUACUCUCCUACGAUUCUAUAAGUUAAGAAUAUAAUAAAACUGACAUGAUAUCUUGUACUCUGCUUGCUAAUAAAUACAUGACCAGGUGGCUCGAGAGGGGUGUGUCGAACCACCACGGAAAAUUAUCUGUGCUGAGGACUGGACGAUCUCUCUAAGUUGAUUGACUAUUGCUUCUUGUGUAUCCGUGUCCCUUGGAAAGAAGCCCCCUACAGGAGGAGGUAUAGGGAUCAUUGCGUCACAGCCCUUGCAUGGAUAUUGACCAUCUGUCAGAAGAACCGUCUUCAGGUCUGGAGCUCGACCCAUCAUGGUACUUGCAAAUAACAAGUGAUGGUCCAGUAGGGGCCUAAAACCACCAAACUGGAACUCUUUCAGUUGCCACUUCUAACAGCUCAUGAACCCAGGAAUCUUCCAUGAAGGUUCCACUCUUUGAGCACCAAAACAUCUUAUUCUUUCUUCAUCACCCUCCAGGCAUGGAUGUUCAAACAUCUGCAUUCAACCACCGAUACCAAAAUUAUAAGGGGUUAUGGUAGGAUGUUGAAACAUCUGCAUUCAACCACAGAUGUACAAUCAUAAAGAGACUACGAUGGUGUUUUGAGUCAGAUAGACUUGUAUACAUUCCAACUAGAAGUUUAAAAGAAGGGACAAUUCCAUUUAUCCCCCUAACUUGAGCCACCACCUGGCAUUUGCCCCUAAUUCUCAGGUAUGCUAAAAAAUACCCCUCUUCCGUCAAGUCACCUUACAGAAAUGCCCUUCUGUGCCGUUACCGUCCGGUCAAAGGGGUUUAACCGUCUGGUGAAUAGUAAAUGGUGAACAGUAAAUUCGCAAAAAAUAGCAAAAAAUCUGAAAUUUUGUGGGAUCGAAGAUACUCAAGGGGGCAAGGCGCGUGCAAAUUUUGGCACCAUUUGGACAUUCCAGCAGCUCGUGUCAAACGAAAAACUUUAAAAUGUACGUUGUGAGCAGUAAAUUCAAAAAACAAUAGCAAGAAAAUUCAAAAAAAUAUGAAAUUUUUUGGCAUCAAAGAGGCUGGGGUGCGCAAGGUGCAUGCAAUUUUUUUUGCGUUUCGACACUGUAGGAGCUCGAGGAGAAAAAACAAAAUUUGGCGCAGAAAAAAACUUUGAAAAAAUGCACUAUUUUGCUUUUUUUAGAGCACCUCGCAUGUCAUUUGAUCACAAAAAAUUGCAAGCGCCUUGCGCACACAAGCCUCUUUGAUGCCAAAAAAUUCAUAUUUUUUAAAAUUUUCUUGCUAUUUUUUUUUAAUUUACUGUUCACAGCGUAUAGAUUUAAAUUUUUUCCUUUCCCACGAGUUCCUAGAAUGUCCAAACAACGCGAAAAUUCGCACACACCUUGCGCCCUUAAGUAUCUUCGAUCCCAUAAAAUUUCAGAUUUUUUUGAUUUUUUUUGCUAUUUUUUCAAAUUUACUGUUCCCCAUGUUACUAUUCACCAGACGGUCAAACCCCUUUGACCGGACGGCAAGGGCAUUUCUGUAAGGUGACUUGACGGAAGAGGGGUAUUUUUGAGCAUACCUGAAAAUUAGGGGCAAAUGCCAGGUGGUGGCUCAAGUUAGGGGGAUAAAUGGAAUUGUCCCUUAAAAGAAUGAGUAGAAGUACCUCAACAUCAAAUGUCUCAACAGAUGGAGCAGCUUCGAUGAGAUUUAAAGUCCAUAACAGAUCAAAUUUUAUAAAGAUACCAUGAAUAAACAGCUUUCUUAGCUUGUUGAAUGCAGUGCAGAGUUGUUUUCUUUCUGGUUGCAUCCAGAUCUGAUGAACAAAACAAAUAAAGAAAAAGAUAAGUAUACAAUAAUUGUGCAUCUGUAUGUUAUAGAGGCAAGUUAUGCGUGCACCAGGUUAGUCAUUUGCCAAGUAAUGGUAUGCUUCCAGGCAAUUAUAAAUCUCUACUAUAUAUAUAUACUUAAAUAUGGAAGAAUAGUGUUCCUCUUUCGUACAACCAUGAGUUCCCCCUCUAUCUCUUCGCUUUGAUUUUUUCCUCGUAUACCUAGUUUUUUCUCCGGUUUUCCGUGAAAACCGUCUGAACGGUCCCACCUUUUAUUGACUUACCAAGUAGAAAUAUGUCUUCUUUUGUAAACCAAUGAGUUCUUAUCAAAUAAAAUCCUAAAAUUUAUCUAGGUAGGUAAAUCACGGGCAAGAUUUGAUAAAACAUUUACUUACACAAUCACAUUAAUAUGGGUUCACAGCAACAUACUAUACUAUUUAUAUCCCACUGCAACGCACCGGCAAUUAUCUACUUAUAAAUAAAAGCAAAUUACUUGGUCAAGGAAGGAAGCAGCAAAACUAAAACAAUCCUAGUGAUGGUCCAACAUGAAGUUCAUACUAAUGAAAUAGCAUAACCACAACAUAACAGAUAUCUGCUAAAAUUACCUUAUAUCCUCGAAAGUUUAAGGUUAGAGUAUGUAUGUUUGUGGCACCAUCUAGAACCUGGCUUAAACUAAAGUCUUGGUGACAGAGAGUUGCAUCACCAUGGAUAGAUCUUGCGUGUGCGUCGAUUUUUUUUGUUUUCCAUGCAAUGUUCCCCAACAAUUAUUUCACUUUAUGAUGUUAUUCUAAUGUCUUUUCUCUCUUAGUUUGCAAGAUUUACAUGAAAAGUAAACUUGCCGGCAGCUGGAAUUCUGGACCUGAAAAAGCUACAACAGAGAUAGAUAUUCACCAUAAAAAGUACUGGAAGAAGAAUCACGAGGAGGGGCCCCACCAUUGAGCCACAAGCUUAGGUGGCGGCCCCCUAGGGUGCGCCACCUAGGCUUGUGGGCCCAUCAGCGGGCCUUCGUGGCCCCUCUUCUCCUAUAUGAUGCCAUUUACCUUAGAAAAAAAUCAAGAGAAGACUUUUGGGACGAAGCAUUACCGUCUUGAGCCGGAAUCUGGGCAGGAGCACUUUUGCUCUCCGCCGGAGCGAUUCCGCUGGGGAUACUCUCCUCCGGGAGGGGAAAAUCGAAGCCACCGACAUCACCAACGAUCCUCUCAUCGUGGGAGGAUAAAUCUUCAUCAACAUCUUCACCAGCACCAUCUCAUCUCAAACCCUAGUUCAUCUCUUAUAUUCAAUCUUUGUCCCAAAAAUCUCAGAUUGGUACACGUGGGUUUCUAGUAGUGUUGAUUACAACAUGUAGUUGAUGCUAGUUGGUUUAUUUGGUGGAAUAUCAUAUGUUCAGAUCCUUAAACAUAUACAAUACACCUCUGAUCUUGAACAUGAAUAUGAUUUGUGAGUAAUUACUUUUGUUCUUGAGGACAUGAAUACGAUCAUGCUCCAUUAUAUUCCAUGAUAGGCAUUUCUGUCGGAAAACAUUUACAUCCGGUAGGCCGGCCGAAACUUCGGUUGGUCGCAUGGACACGGUCCGAUCCCAUGAUGCGCUGCCAUUAGAUCCCACACCAUCCCUUUGUUUUUUCUUUUGUUUUUUGUUUUGGAAUAAAGCAUCGCAUCCCCAUUCAUGGCGUCUGCGGCCUUCGACCACCAUCUGCCGGGCGCAUCCGGCUGGAUCGCACAGUUCCUCGAAGCUGGUGUGCCACCCCUGCCGGAUCUCAUCCACCGGACAUCAUGGAGUCACCGGCCUCUCCUUCCCAUCAGCACGGGGGAGAUCCCCUUCCCGCCCCUCGCCUGUUUUUUCCUCCGACGAGCUGGACGUCGUCUCCCACGCACCCCCUCCACACCCUCUCAACCAGUGGUGAUGCAGUAGUCACCAUGGAUGUGCCAACACCACCUUCAACCCCCCGGCAGCGAGAUGUUACAACCCUUUGCGAGAGAUGGUACAAUCAGCUUGCAUGGAUGCUACGAUUGACUUUUUUUUUUGCUUCAUCCGACAGCUGGAGUUUGGUUGCUGAUUUUUUUGCUGCAACCAUGCUGGCUUUUUGCUACUACGAUGAUGGAAAUUUGCUACAUCCUCCGCGGUGAGUCGACCAAUGUGGUGGCGGCUGGACGCCGGGCUGCCGUGAUAAUGCUACAACUGGCUUCGAGAUUUGCUACAACUAGCAUCUUGAUUUGCUGGAACCUGCCACCAUGUCUGCUGUAACCAUUGUCGUAGUGCAGCGUUUUUGCCUCAACCAGCCAAGACAUUUGCUGGAACCGGCACACAAAAUUGCUGGAACAGGCUUCUCUCUUCUUGUCAACGCAACCAUGGUGACCAUGGCGGGGGACGACGUUUGCUUUUUUUUUUGCUGCAACCACACAUCACAAACCUACGACCGGCGUUGCGCCGUGCUCAAAUGGUGGCUUGCACCUUGGUUCCGUGCUACAAGCUACCAUGGAGCGGGAGCAAGGGGUGAGGAGGAGUUGUGGCAAUGGGGCCGGGGGUGAGCAAGGCGGUGCGGUGGCUGGGAGUGCAGGGUGUCCUAGGGGACGAGGGCGGCGUCAUGCAUGGCUGACGCCCGCCGGCACAAGGGGAAGGAAGAAGACGAGGAGGCAGAAAGAAGACGUCGCGAGGGAUCCAAUGGUACGGUUGCGUACGGCUGAAUCAAGCGGCUAGGGGCCGACGGACCGAAAUUUCGCCCAGCGCACCCGCUCCUAACAUCGCCCAUUUCUGUUUGUGUGCACCAUCUAAUACAUCAGUAUGCAACAGAAAAAAUGAUACACCGUACAAGGUUCAGACCAACUAAAAGAAUUAUACCAGCGCAUCAACAGAUUACACACAAACAACCAAGUGUAUUUUGGCCUGCCAACAAAAAACGGAGUCUAAAGGAGAUGUCAACUGAAUGAGACCAAACUAUAUCUCAUCUAGAUGAGUUGUAAGCACUCUCAUCAACAUUUAUACACCUUCGGUAUUUUUUAUAUAAAUGGACGCUAAAGAUUUUGACAAAAUUGAUACAAAGGGAAUUACUCUCCUACGAUUCUGUAAGUUCAGAAUAUAAUAAAACUGAAGUGAUCUCUUGUACUCUGCUUGCUAAUAAAUACAUGACCAGGUGGCUCGAGAGGGGUGUGUCGAACCACCACGGAAAAUUAUCUGUGCUGAGGACUGGCCGAUCUCUCUAAGUUGCUUGACUAUUGCCU
rnacentral:lncRNA from 1 species